rnacentral:rRNA from 1 species
AUACGGAGGGGGCUAGCGUUGUUCGGAAUUACUGGGCGUAAAGCGCGCGUAGGCGGCUUGCCAAGUUGGGGGUGAAAUCCCAGGGCUCAACCCUGGAACUGCCCUCAAAACUGGUUCGCUAGAGUCCGGGAGAGGUGAGUGGAAUUCCCAGUGUAGAGGUGAAAUUCGUAGAUAUUGGGAAGAACACCAGUGGCGAAGGCGGCUCACUGGAACGGUACUGACGCUGAGGCGCGAAAGCGUGGGGAGCAAACAGGAUUAGAAACCCCAGUAGUCC